ACUCCUACGGGAGGCAGCAGUGGGGAAUUUUGCGCAAUGGGGGAAACCCUGACGCAGCAACGCCGCGUGGAUGAUGAAGCCCCUUGGGGUGUAAAAUCCUUUCGGCAGGGACGAAAUUUUGACGGUACCUGAAGAAGAAGCCCCGGCUAACUCCGUGCCAGCAGCCGCGGUAAU
rnacentral:rRNA from 1 species